CGACGAACAAAAAUAAAUAAAUGUUAUCGAAAAUUUUCAUAUAAAAAGUUUUUUCUCUUACUGAAAGCUUGCAAUAGAUAUUUAGCAGUUUUUCUCGGAUGUUGACAUAGUAAAUAUUUAAACUGUUCUUCAUUUGAUAGUAUACAUAAAUUGUCUAUUUGUGAGAAAUGUUGCAGUCGCAGAUUGUUAUAAAAGUUACAGUUGAUAAGGAAAUGAAAUUCGUUUUCCACACAGUUAUCGCUACACAUUUUACACAAACGGUCACAUUCGUCUUCACCUACAAAACGACCAGUUUCUAACCUGAGAGGAAGAAUGCCACACCUGAGUUGCGCUAUUAUGGAUCGUUCAGUACGGUUAAGAUUAAGUUCAA
rnacentral:lncRNA from 1 species